UACGUAGGGCGCAAGCGUUGUCCGGAAUUAUUGGGCGUAAAGAGCUCGUAGGCGGCUUGUCACGUCGGGUGUGAAAGCCCCGGGGCUUAACCCCGGGUCUGCAUUCGAUACGGGCUAGCUAGAGUGUGGUAGGGGAGAUCGGAAUUCCCGGUGUAGCGGUGAAAUGCGCAGAUAUCGGGAGGAACACCGGUGGCGAAGGCGGUUCUCUGGGCCUUACCUGACGCUGAGGAGCGAAAGCGUGGGGAGCGAACAGG
rnacentral:rRNA from 1 species